rnacentral:rRNA from 1 species
GAUGAACGCUGGCGGCGUGCCUAAUACAUGCAAGUCGAGCGAACAGAUAAGGAGCUUGCUCCUUUGACGUUAGCGGCGGACGGGUGAGUAACACGUGGAUAACCUACCUAUAAGACUGGGAUAACUUCGGGAAACCGGAGCUAAUACCGGAUAACAUAUUGAACCGCACGGUUCAAUAGUGAAAGGCGGCUUUGCUGUCACUUAUAGAUGGAUCCGCGCCGUAUUAGCUAGUUGGUAAGGUAACGGCUUACCAAGGCAACGAUACGUAGCCGACCUGAGAGGGUGAUCGGCCACACUGGAACUGAGACACGGUCCAGACUCCUACGGGAGGCAGCAGUAGGGAAUCUUCCGCAAUGGGCGAAAGCCUGACGGAGCAACGCCGCGUGAGUGAUGAAGGUCUUCGGAUCGUAAAACUCUGUUAUCAGGGAAGAACAAAUGUGUAAGUAACUGUGCACAUCUUGACGGUACCUGAUCAGAAAGCCACGGCUAACUACGUG